rnacentral:lncRNA from 1 species
CUUUUGGAACUUUUGUGAGUAUAAUGUUUACUUUAAAUUUUUUAAUAGUUUUUUUCACUUAUGUUUAUUAUCUAUUUCACUUGCUUUGGCAAUGCAAACAUAUGUUUCCCAUGCCAAUAAAGCCCUUAAAUUGUAUAUGGACAUUUAACUGAGAGCAAGAGAGAGGGAGGGAGAGAGUGAGAGAGCAAGAGAGAGAGAGAGAGAGCAAGAGAGAGAGAGAGAGAGAGAGAGAGAGAGAGAGAGAGAGAGAGAGAGAGAGAGAGAGAGAGAGAGAGAGAGAGAGAGAGAGAGAGAGAGAGAGAGAGAGAGAGCCACAGUAUGCGAUCUUUAAGUUAUACUAUAGACGUGAGCUAUAAAUUACAUCUGAAAUGUAAUGUUAAUACAUAUCUCUACCUUUCAUCGCUGUACCUUGAUUUAUAUUUGAUAAUGUUCCCUCUGUAGCAUGAUUAAGUGGGAGAUGUUGACAACAGUAGUAACAUUAGGCUUUGAGGGGCUAUAGCUCCUUUAUCUAAUAAGGGAGCUACACAUGUAUACUGUACACACACACACACACACACACACACACACACACACACACACACACAGAGAGAAAAACUGAGAAGCCUGACUGAGCGAUCCGACUGCCCUCCUAUUUUUAGCCCACUGUCUCGACAUCAAAGCCUUGUUUUAUGGUUGAUCUUCUCCCUUCCAAUAGUAUUGCUUUGCUUAUAGGAACAAUGGUCCAGCCUCUUCCUCCUCUCUCUGUCUAAUGCUUGUGUAAUGGGGCUUAGUCUGACUGUAAAGUGUAUUUCACUUUGGGAAAGGAGGUAGUGAGACUGCUCUUUGUUGUUGAUAUUAUGGAUUAGGUGUAAAGUCAUUAAAGCAUGAAGGGGAAGAAGCACAGCAGGCUUGAGGCAUUUUAGUUUGCAUAACACAAUAGAGCUAGUUUGUAUCUAGUUUCCCCCAAUGGUUCACCCUCAGUCAACUAGCCGUAACCUUGCAUUAAUGUCGGUGUUCUAUGACAUAAUGAUAUAUGACAUAAAACACUGUCGCAAGACAGAUAGCACAUUAGCUUUGGCUGAAUUGUCAUAUUGUAGCCACUGUCGUCUCUGCAAGGUCUUGAACAGGGUAAACGGAAGGUCUCUGGAGGCAGUGAGCUGGUGCUCCGGAUGCAUUGGACAGAUAAGUUGGACCACCAAAGAGCUGCAUCCAUCAUUUUCCCUCCUCUUCUGUCGUUCUGUCCCCCCUUCCUGCCGCAACACACACACACACACACUGGUACCGUAGCCUGUCCCCACCAGGAUUAGAUAUCGUAGAUAUUGUCUUAGAUACAGUCUUAUCAGGGGCAGGAUAAAAGGUUGUUUUGUUCACUGACUGGCAGACACCUUGUGGGGCUGUGACAACAUGGCAAGCCUAAUAAACAGUCUGGGACAUGCAGAGAGAGGGAAUGGGGGAGAGGAGGAGGGGAGAAGAAGGGGUAGGAGGAAAGAGAGUAGGAGAGGGAGAAUGAGAAAAGGUAGAAGAAGGAGGAGAAGAGAGUGUAGGAUCAAGAAGAAGACAGAAAGGUGAAAGGAGGAGAAGAGAGUGUAGGAUCAAGAAGAAGACAGAAAGGUGAAAGGAGGAGAAGAGACUGUAGGAUCAAGAAGAAGACAGAAAGGUGAAAGGAGGAGAAGAGACUGUAGGAUCAAGGAGGAGAAGAGAGUGUAGGAUCAAGAAGAAGACAGAAAGGUGAAAGGAGGAGAAGAGAGUGUAGGAUCAAGAAGAAGACAGAAAGGUGAAAGGAGGAGAAGAGAGUGUAGGAUCAAGAAGAAAGAAAGGUGAAAGGAGGAGAAGAGUGUGUAGGAUCAAGAAGAAAGAAAGGUGAAAGGAGGAGAAGAGUGUAGGAUCAAGAAGAAGACAGAAAGGUGAAAGGAGGAGAAAAGGAAGAAAGAGAGGAGAGAUGUGCAGUACCAGUGAUGUCAUCAAGCAGAGGAAUGCUUUCUCACAGGGGUGGACCCCCAGAGGGUACAUGGACAGGACCAAGUGUGCACGUCCGCCUGCCUUCACACACACACACACACACACACACACACACACACACACACACACAUACACAAACGGAGGGAAAAGGGUGGCACAGAGAGAGAGCCCUGGCCCCUGUCAAGCAGGUCCGAUAGGACCUAGGGGGUAUCAACAAUGAUUCCCGCUAGGCAGUGCUCGGAGGAUAUGCAUCGAGAAAGGAAUUCAAUAACAGGAAAACGGAUCUGAUACAAACAAUCCAUGGAAUACUGAAACCCACCCUGGUCACUGUUAUGUUUGGCACGAUACGACCCCUUCUUCUAUCACCUGUUCUUAAUGAUGUCACGGGUACUGGACUCCACGGUAGUGUUACUACACGUUGUUGUCGGUUGUCAUACGUUUACUGUCUGAUGGUGUGUCAUAUGGAAAGAAGUUUCCAGAGCAUCGUCAGUGGGUGUGUGUGUCUCUGUGCGCCCGCGAGAGUGUGUACGUGUGUGCGGGUGUGUGUGUGUGUGUAACUUUACCACAGCAACUACUUAAAACAGUAUCAGCCGGUCUGAAGUCAUUUCCUUAGGCUGAGGGAUGAGGCCUGAGUUCUGAACAGCUAGAUGGCUGACUGCCUGGGUUUUUAAUUUGGCUGCUGCUGUGUGGUUUUGACAAUGGAAGAGGCACUUUGGAAAUGACAGGCACUGGCAGUCGGUUUAGUAAAACACUGGUUGUGUAGAUAAGACAUGAGCUGUGGAGAGACUGGCUGUCCCAUUUCUGUCUCGUCUCCUGCACUUGCACUCCUCAGGAGUGUUGUCAUUGAAGCUAGCUAUCUAGGAGGGCCAGUUUGGGAGAGUGGC